GUGUGUUGCUGACGUGUGUGUUGCUGAUGUGUGUGUUGCUGACGUGUGUGCUGCUGAUGUGUGUGUUGCUGAUGUGUGUGUUGCGGAUGUGUGUGUUGCUGAUGUGUGUGUUGCUGACGUGUGUGUUGCUGAUGUGUGUGUUGCUGAGGUGUGUGUUGCUGAUGUGUGUGUUGCUGACGUGUGUGUUGCUGACGUGUGUGUUGCUGACGUGUGUUCUGCUGAUGUGUGUGUUGCGGAUGUGUGUGUUGCUAAUGUGUGUGUUGCUGAUGUGUGUGUUGCGGAUGUGUGUGUUGCUGAUGUGUGUGUUGCUGAUGUGUGUGUUGCUGAGGUGUGUGUUGCUGAGGUGUGUGCUGCU
ensembl:lncRNA